rnacentral:snRNA from 1 species
GGAUGUGAGGGCGAUCUGGCUGGGACAUCUGUCACCCCAUUGAUCACCAGGGUUGAUUAGGCUGAUCUGGCUGGCUAGGCGGGUGUCCCCCUCCUCCCUCACUGAUCCAAGUGCGUCCCUCCCGAAGCUGUGCCCUCUGUCCAAGAGGACGACCUUCCCCCCAGAGGAGAGGACCCGACUUCGGUCAAGGGUAUACGAGUAGCUGCGCUCCCCUUUUAGGACCUCCAAACAAGCUCUCAAGGAUAUCACUACUUGAUCAUAUUUAUGAACAGCUCUAAUUGAUAAAGGGAAAAUGUCUGUCCAGUAUAUAAAAGAAAUUCUCACACUGGUUCUAG